UAUCUAAUAAUAAUACUAUAGAUAAUACCUGUGCGCCUAACUUGCUGGUGCUACUGCCUUCUUGCACCGACGUUCGUAGACACGACCCCACAUAACAUCUCUCCCUCCCUAGAGCAGCAGCUCAUCCUCAAGCUGAAAGGAAGGGAAGCGCUUCUGGAACUUGUCGAGAUCCUCCCAUGAUGCCACCGAGUCAGGCUGGCCUACCCACUUGAUCAAUAGCUGGCGCACAUCACGGUAGAGCCGAGCCUUGAGUGCACGUUCAGGUACCGGCAGAACCGCUUCGAAGUGCAAAGGAGACUGCAGCGGCAGAGCUUAGGGUGGUUCACCGAUGGACUUUUUCAGCAAGCCAGCAUGGAACACGUCAUGGAUGCGAGCCGUU
rnacentral:lncRNA from 1 species